rnacentral:lncRNA from 1 species
AAGCUCCAGCUGACAGCAAAAUAUUUUUACCAAAGGCAAAUAUUAAGGACAGCAUACAAAUCAAACCUGCAAUGGAUCAAACUAUCAAUACAAAUAAGCAACAUUUUCAAUUACUGCCCAUUUAAUUGGCAAUACAUCACAUAGAACACCAUCAAAGCUGGUGGCCUCUUCGGUUGACACAAUCUAACUUUGCAACAACAUUAGACAAAUUGCGGCUGCCACCAGUGUAAUGAACAAAUCAGUCACCUCACUUUUUUGCAAACUGGGAAGAAAAUGAACCAAUGACAUGUGAGGCACAAGACUAAGAAAGUUUAGCAAACACACGCUGGGAACAUGACUCUAAGGCCAGUCUCAAUACAUAGUUUCAUGGCACAGUUACCAAGACUAGGUAACCGAGCCAUAUGAGUUUCAUGUGGAUGAAACUCCUCUCUCAUCUGCUGAAACUCCUUCAUUUAAUGACCCUGCCACCUUCAUUUAAUGACCCUGCCAAGUCAGCAAUUUUGCUUAUGUGGCACCCUAUUUAAUGUGCAUGACACUCCCAUGAAACAUGCAUUGAGACUGGCCUAAUAAAGUUUGGCCAGCCACAAUAAUGGUGUGGAACAAACACACGCCUAAGAAACUGUCUCGCGCCUAAAGUGCCACAAGGUUUGGCAACGAACCAACAGGCCCACAUAUGUAAGUGUCAAAGUACCAAAAAAUUGCAACCUAUAGAGAAAUGAAGUACUGAGAUGAAAAUCCUAACAUUCUGUAAUCCUGCACAUAAAAACAUGCCAAUAUUCUACAGGACUCUAUUUGCCGGAAAUUGCUGGAAAACAAAGAAACCACACGUUACACAAAAAUAAAAUAAAUCCAAUCACUCUUAUAUUAUGCCUAUGCAAUGAAUUGCACACACACUCUGAGCAACAAUUCUUAAAUGUGUUUCCACAAUCUAUCAAAGCAAUCACACUUCAAAACAGGAAGAUCUAUAGACGAAUGAUAUCCAGCCACCAUAUUUCAAAGUUUUGGUUUUGCAAGAAUUUCACUGGAUAUCAUAUUUCAAUUAUCUACAGCUGAGGACUAGCCAAGGACACAGGCUUUAUUGAACAACAGGCCAACAGUAAUAUCAUUGAUCAUCUAAGAGAAAUGUCGACAGCAAACAGCCAAGCCCAUACUCAAUUGACAUCAACACCACAUAAUGGUUUGUAAUCAUCCCAAAUGGACUGUAGGACAAGUGGUCAACUAACAGAAAUGUCAACAAAACAUACACCCCAUUGUUGGAAGAAAAUUCAGUGGGCGCUGGGUUCAUGGCGUCGUCCGUGCGCCCCCAGUCCCGAUAGGCGACGCGUGUCUCGCAAGCAAAUCAAACGUCCGACGUGAGGGCAGCUCCGUGAUAUCAAACUCUAAGCCUAAACAAACUCUAAGCCUUCUGAAAGGAUCUUUAAAUGUUCCAGGGUAGUCAGUAGUGUCUAUUCAAACAAUUUGCCUGAUAACUGGCUAAUUGAUGGAAGACCAACCGUUUACCCUUUUUUUGUUUAAUAGGAGAACAUUUCAUACACUCCUAUUUAAUUGACUUUAACAGCACAUAGUGUUAUGUAAGCAUCACUUGAAUUGAUAUGUCAAUAACCCUCACCAUGGUCAACCAAUUCGGGGUACAGAUCAUAACCCGUUUUUAGUUUAAACUUUAACACGAGCUGAUGGGAAGCAACAAUAGCAUAAAACAAGCCAAC